UACAGAGGUCCCAAGCGUUGUUCGGAUUCAUUGGGCGUAAAGGGCGCGUAGGCGGGAUGGCAAGUCGGUCGUGAAAUCCCUCGGCUCAACCGAGGAACGUCGAUCGAUACUGCUGUUCUUGAGGAUUGCAGAGGAGACUGGAAUUCCCGGUGUAGCGGUGAAAUGUGUAGAGAUCGGGAGGAACACCGGUGGCGAAGGCGGGUCUCUGGGCAAUUCCUGACGCUGAGGCGCGAAAGCGUGGGGAGCAAACGGG
rnacentral:rRNA from 1 species